GACGAACCGUGCGAACGUUAUUCGGAAUCACUGGGCUUAAAGCGCGUGUAGGCGGAUGAGCACGUCUGUCGCUGAAAUCCCCCGGCUCAACCGGGGAACGGGCGCGGAUACGGCUCGUCUCGAGGGGCGUAGGGGGACCUGGAACUUCCGGUGGAGCGGUGAAAUGCGUUGAGAUCGGAAGGAACGCCCGUGGCGAAAGCGAGGUCCUGGACGCCUACUGACGCCUGAGACGCGAAAGCCAGGGGGAGCGAACGGG
rnacentral:rRNA from 1 species